AAUCCGUCAACUUGCCAUGAUCUUAAUCGAAAAGCAGGUAACUCAAUUGAAAUCACCUCCCUUUCCAAACCAUCGUUCCUUAUUCUCAUUUUCUAAAAACAAUUUAAACGAAACUUAAAACUGCCCCCUCUUUUUGUAGCUGCACAAGUUGGAAAGCAAGUUAGCAUUCUUCAACGAGAUGGAUAAUGUGACAUUGAGAGUGAGGGAGCAACUAGACAGGUCAAAGCAGAGGCUUUUCCAAGAACGUGCACAGAUAAUUGCCGCUCGACUCGGCUUACCUGCUUCAUCAUCCCGAGGUGUGGCACCGACGUUACCAGCGAAUAGAAUGGCCAUGAACUUUCCAAACUCAGCCCCAAGGCCUCCAAUGGGCAUGACACCCCAAAGGCCACCGAUUUCAGGACCGCCGGGUAUGGCUCCUACUAACCCUAACCCCCAAUAUGCGACCACCAGUACAACAAUUUCUGGGAGUUCAAUUCGCCCUGCGAAUCAGGACACACUUUCUUCUGUUGGGACCAAGUAAAACUCAACAUUAGCUUGCAGGUUGAGAUUGCAACCAUUUUAAUACAGUAGAAUUCACUUCAGUUUACUGUGUAACCUAUUUGAUUUUAUUGUUGUAUUAUAUUCAAUCAACUAGGAACAUUUUGAAAUUUGGAAGGAAAAGAAAAGCUAAUGUAGUUCACCUGACUUUACAGUCCCUUCGUAUUCUGACCAGCCCUCUGUCUCUUCUCCAAAAUCUCUCUCAC
rnacentral:lncRNA from 1 species